UCCCUCCUAGCUUAAUGGUCCUAGCAAUGGUGCGUAAAAUCAAAGGUCCCGGGUUCGAUUCCCGGCGGGGGUG
rnacentral:tRNA from 1 species